rnacentral:rRNA from 1 species
GAUGAACGCUGGCGGCGUGCCUAAUACAUGCAAGUCGAGCGAACAGACGAGGAGCUUGCUCCUCUGACGUUAGCGGCGGACGGGUGAGUAACACGUUGAUAACCUACCUAUAAGACUGGGAUAACUUCGGGAAACCGGAGCUAAUACCGGAUAAUAUAUUGAACCGCAUGGUUCAAUAGUGAAAGACGGUUUUGCUGUCACUUAUAGAUGUAUCCGCGCCGCAUUAGCUAGUUGGUAAGGUAACGGCUUACCAAGGCGACGAUGCGUAGCCGACCUGAGAGGGUGAUCGGCCACACUGGAACUGAGACACGGUCCAGACUCCUACGGGAGGCAGCAGUAGGGAAUCUUCCGCAAUGGGCGAAAGCCUGACGGAGCAACGCCGCGUGAGUGAUGAAGGUCUUCGGAUCGUAAAACUCUGUUAUUAGGGAAGAACAAAUGUGUAAGUAACUAUGCACGUCUUGACGGUACCUAAUCAGAAAGCCACGGCUAACUACGUG